GCAUAUGUGAUAUUAGUUAAGAGUUUUACUUGGUAUUGUAAAACAAUAAUACAAAAAGGAUGCCAACAGAUCUAGAAGAAAACAAAGUCAACGUCCUUAUUGUUUUCCCAAGAAGCAAAGCCUCUCUGUCUGCAGUUUGGCUUGAAAUCGAUUUUUAUUUCUAAUUCUCUCUGGAACUAAGUGUGGAAGGAAGGAACAAAGCUAUACUUUGAGUUGGAAGCUGAUUAUUCUCUCCGAAAUUGAGAGCACCAACACCAGAGCACAGCAUACAGGACCCAAAAUACAGGUUUUACUUCUGCCAUGAUUGAUGCUAAAGUAAUUGCUUUAGAUAUGGAAAUUGAGCCUGUAUUUCUUAAAAAACGUCAAACCUGUAGAAAGAGACAUUUUGAUGAGAUUUCCAAUAAUAAGAGGGAACAACAAUCAUCUAAAGAAUCCUUUAGAACUGAUUACUUUCUUGUCAUAGUGGAUAUUGGUCUUGGUGAAUUGAAAAGUAGGUUUGAACAAUUGCAUAUCUUUGAAUCUAUUUUUGGGUUCUUAUUUGAUGCUGCAAAAUUGACUUCUUUGGAUGAAAAUGAAUUGAGAAGCUCUUGUUUGAAUCUUGAAAAUGCUUUAAAAAAUGACAAUGAUAUUGAUAUUGAUGCAAGAGAUUUAGAGUCAGAAUUACAGGUGUUGCAAGUGAUGUUACCAAGUGAAGCAAUUGAAACAGAUAAACCAUGGACAUCCAUUAAAAUUCUAGAAUUUGUAAAGAGUGUGGAUAUGUUUCCAAAUGUAAUGGUUGCUUAUAGGAUAUUACUGACUAUACCUGUGACUGUGGCAUCUGCUGAAAGAAGUUUUUCUAAAUUAAAAUUAUUAAAAUCUUAUUUGCGGACCACCAUGGCUCAAGAUAGGCUAAAUGGACUAGCUAUAUUAUGCAUUGAAAGAGAUAUGUUGGAAAACAUUAAAUAUGAUAGUAUAAUUGAUGAUUUUGCUUCUAAAACUGCAACAAGAAGACAUUUUAAAUGAUCUUUUGUGAUUAGGAUUUCAUUGCUAUUUUUAUUUUGUAGGUGCAUAUGAAGGUGAAGCAUAGGGACAUGCAAGUUAAUUUGUUGUUGAUUGUAAUGUUUUCAAUCGGGUACUCUUUUUCCUUCGUUUGAGGUUUUAUUCCCAUUGCGAUUUCCUCAAACAAGGUUUUAAUGAGGCCCAAAGUUUUCUAUAUUAUUGGUUGUAAACUCUUAUAAUUUUAAUAAAAUUUAUUAUUUGAUAAAAAAUUGUAAUUAUAUUUAUUUAUUUGUUUAUAAAGGGCACAUUCUUGAACUUUGGCCCUAGGCCUUAAAUCACCCAGGGCCGGCCCUGCC
rnacentral:lncRNA from 1 species